GCCCCCAUCGUCUAGAGGCCUAGGACACCUCCCUUUCACGGAGAAAACGCGGAUUCGAAUUCCGCUGGGGGUA
rnacentral:ncRNA from 15 species